AACGAUGAAGCUUCUAGCUUGCUAGUUGUGGAUUAGUGGCGCACGGGUGAGUAAGGUAUAGUUAAUCUGCCCUACACAAGAGGACAACAGUUGGAAACGACUGCUAAUACUCUAUACUCCUAUUUAACAUAAGUUGAGUAGGGAAAGUUUUUCGGUGUAGGAUGAGACUAUAUAGUAUCAGCUAGUUGGUGAGGUAAUGGCUCACCAAGGCUAUGACGCUUAACUGGUCUGAGAGGACGAUCAGUCACACUGGAACUGAGACACGGUCCAGACUCCUACGGGAGGCAGCAGUAGGGAAUAUUGCGCAAUGGGGGAAACCCUGACGCAGCAACGCCGCGUGGAGGAUGACACUUUUCGGAGCGUAAACUCCUUUUCUUAGGGAAGAAUUAUGACGGUAUCUAACGAAUAAGCAC
rnacentral:rRNA from 1 species